UGGGGAAUGUUUUAUUGAAUUUGGUUUUUGAGUUAAAAUUUUUAAAUGUUUUUAUGGGACGAGAAGACCCUAUAGAGUUUAACAUUUGGCCUAUUUUUCCUUAUGGUUGGUUUUGUUUAAUUAAGUGGGCUUAUAUGUUUUGUUGGGGCGAUGAGAGGGAUAUAGUUUAACCCCUCUUUAUUUUGGUUAUAUUAAUUUAUAGUUGCUUGAUCCAUUAAUUUUGAUUAUAAAAUUAAAUUACCU
rnacentral:rRNA from 1 species